rnacentral:rRNA from 1 species
CCCUUAGAUGGUCUGGGCGGCACGCGCGCUACAAUGAUGCAUUCAGAAAGUCUUCUGACCUUAGAAGGUUGGGUAUUCUCCAAAGUGCAUCGUGAUGGGAAUAGUUUAUUGCAAUUUUUAAUCUUGAACGAGGAAUUUCUAGUAAAUACAGGUCAUCAACUUGUGUUGAUUACGUCCCUGCCCUUUGUACACACCGCCCGUCGCUCCUACUGAUUGAGUGUCUCGGUGAAUUCUUUGAUUCUCUGUCGAUUCAGUUCACUGAUCCGACGGUGGAAAGUUGAGUGAACUUCGUCACUUAGAGGAAGGAGAAGUCGUAACA